GAGUUUGAUCGUGGCUCAGGACGAACGCUGGCGGCGUGCCUAAUACAUGCAAGUCGAGCGAGCGGAACCAACAGAUUUACUUCGGUAAUGACGUUGGGAAAGCGAGCGGCGGAUGGGUGAGUAACACGUGGGGAACCUGCCCCUAAGUCUGGGAUACCAUUUGGAAACAGGUGCUAAUACCGGAUAAUAAAGCAGAUCGCAUGAUCAGCUUUUGAAAGGCGGCGUAAGCUGUCGCUAAGGGAUGGCCCCCGCGGUGCAUUAGCUAGUUGGUAAGGUAACGGCUUACCAAGGCGACGAUGCAUAGCCGAGUUGAGAGACUGAUCGGCCACAUUGGGACUGAGACACGGCCCAAACUCCUACGGGAGGCAGCAGUAGGGAAUAUUGCACAAUGGGGGAAACCCUGAUGCAGCGACGCCGCGUGGAGGAGAAGGUUUUCGGAUUGUAAACUCCUGUCGUUAGGGAC
rnacentral:rRNA from 1 species